rnacentral:antisense_RNA from 1 species
UGAGUGUCUGUACCUGCAACCCUGGCGGCAUCCGAGCCGAAGACGGAGUCUGGGAGACAAAGAAGUCCUCGCCGCGGGCCGCUGGAGGAUUCUGCCAGUAGCGAAAGAUGGGGUCUCGUUAUGUUGACCAGGCUGGUCUUGAACACCUGGCCUGAAGUGAUCCUCUUGCCUCAGCCUCCCAUAGUGCUGCGAUCACAGGUGUGCAUGCCUUCCUUAUUUCUCAUACUCAUCACCUCCUCUUCCCGCUUGGAACUGCCCACACUGGUGAUUUCCUUGUUAAGGAACUUGAUGGCGUUGUGCAUGCUCGCUGACAGGGGACGGCACUGAGUCAGGAAGCUGUAAUACAACAGCAAUACCUUAUAUCUGUGCAACUCUUCACAACUUACAAAGCUUUCACAU